rnacentral:rRNA from 1 species
UUUAAAGAGAGUUUGAUCCUGGCUCAGGACGAACGCUGGCGGCGUGCCUAAUACAUGCAAGUCGAACGAACGGAGGAAGAGCUUGCUCUUCCAAAGUUAGUGGCGGACGGGUGAGUAACACGUGGGCAACCUGCCUGUAAGUUGGGGAUAACUCCGGGAAACCGGGGCUAAUACCGAAUGAUAAAGUGUGGCGCAUGCCACGCUUUUGAAAGAUGGUUUCGGCUAUCGCUUACAGAUGGGCCCGCGGUGCAUUAGCUAGUUGGUAGGGUAAUGGCCUACCAAGGCAACGAUGCAUAGCCGACCUGAGAGGGUGAUCGGCCACACUGGGACUGAGACACGGCCCAGACUCCUACGGGAGGCAGCAGUAGGGAAUCUUCCGCAAUGGACGAAAGUCUGACGGAGCAACGCCGCGUGUAUGAAGAAGGUUUUCGGAUCGUAAAGUACUGUUG